AAGGGGACAAAAGCGUGAAGACAACACCUAACGAUGGGCCAGCUCAGUAUGGGAGGCAUGCAAGGAUGACAGCACGAUCGCUGACACGCGACAUAGAUGAUAUAAGAGAAGAACUCGCUCUGUCUGGAAUCUUGAAGAGUGAGGCAAGGGUCAGUCCUCGCAGACGGCAAGAAAAGGAUACAUCGUGACCGCUGCUUCCCGUUGCCUGGGGCAACCGCCGGAAGGUAGAGGUCAACAGGACUUUGUGUUUCUUGAGAUCUUUGUCGUCUGGAGCCGGUGUCGGACAACUGUCGUCGCCUAAGAUCUUCACCGCAGCUGUUGUUCGUUGCCUGGGGCAACCGGUGGAAGCAGCGGUGCCAGUAGGUCGGAAAGCUCACAAACGAUGUCGUCACCGUCGUUUGUUGCCGGGGGCAACUGUGUGCGACCAGAGUGGUGACAGUUUUAUCUUACAAAAUUAUUUUUCACACCGAACAGUAUUAUUGUCGUGUUCGAUUAUAAUUUUCAUCCAGAAAAACUCUGUAUGAUCACAAGUAUACAUCAAAAUAAUUUAUUUUAUUUUUUUCCCCUAAUUGUUUCAGAACCACAAAUUCAUGCUUUGUGAUAUCUCAUUAAUUCCCAAAAACACUUCUGAACUCAUUAGUGCCAUUUGUUAAAUGAAAAAUGUAGAAAAAAAAUUAAAGAACAGAAAAAUG